GUUUUACCACCAGAGGUUAUGCUGCUCCUUGUUACCUCACCCCCCUCAUUCCGUCCUCGCUAUAUCAGUGGGUCGGGUUUUACGAUCAAGUCCAAAAUAAUCUGGGAAAAACCUCAUGCUUGCUUUCUCCUUUUCACUUCUGCUUCUGCUGCCUUCCACUUCCCACCAGUGUUGAAAUGGGCUCUGACUGCUGAUUUAUGUUUGGCAAAGUGACGCCUGUCGGCACCUGACGUCCUUGUAUGCUCACCUCAAUCCUUCCUCACGUUGUCAACCUCUGUUCACCCUGAACCCUCACGCAUGCAGAGUCUCCAGGCAGAAGAUGAGAAUGGAGAUCACAAUCACCAUGACGCUGAUGAUGGCGAUGAUGCGGGCUCCGCUGGAGGACUCAGGAUACUCGAACAGCAUCCAGAGGCGACGCUGCAGAUUGUUGCUCAUAGAACCGCAGCUCCUCCAAGAAGAUGUCCAGUGGGAUGUUGGUGGGCCUCCGCAGCCUCCCGCCGGACUGGUAGAAGUAGAGGAUGGCAUCGAAGCACACGCGGCUCCUGUCGAGGAAGAGUUCGUUCCUCAGGG